AGCGUUGGGGGGCGUCGACGCGCGGCCCAUACCCUCGGCCGCCGGGACCGCGCCGAGCCACUGGCGAGACCGACCCAUGCGACU
rnacentral:ncRNA from 1 species